UCUCCGUUGGUGAACCAGCGGAGGGAUCAUUACCGAGUUUACAACUCCCAAACCCCUGUGAACAUACCUAUCGUUGCCUCGGCGGUGCCCGCUCCGGCGGCCCGCCAGAGGACCCCCAAACUCUUGUUUUAUACAGUAUCUUCUGAGUAACACGAUUAAAUAAAUCAAAACUUACAACAACGGAUCUCUUGGUUCUG
rnacentral:misc_RNA from 1 species